AUUGAACGCUGGCGGCAUGCCUUACACAUGCAAGUCGAACGGUAACAGGUCUUCGGAUGCUGACGAGUGGCGAACGGGUGAGUAAUACAUCGGAACGUGCCUGAGAGUGGGGGAUAACGAGGCGAAAGCUUUGCUAAUACCGCAUACGAUCUCAGGAUGAAAGCAGGGGACCGCAAGGCCUUGCGCUCACGGAGCGGCCGAUGGCAGAUUAGGUAGUUGGUGGGAUAAAAGCUUACCAAGCCGACGAUCUGUAGCUGGUCUGAGAGGACGACCAGCCACACUGGGACUGAGACACGGACCAGACUCCUACGGGAGGCAGCAGUGGGGAAUUUUGGACAAUGGGCGCAAGCCUGAUCCAGCCAUGCCGCGUGCAGGAUGAAGGCCUUCGGGUUGUAAACUGCUUUUGUACGGAACGAAAAGACUCUGGUUAAUACCUGGGGUCCAUGACGGUACCGUAAGAAUAAGCACCGGCUAACUACGUGCCAGCCGCCGCGGUAACAC
rnacentral:rRNA from 1 species